rnacentral:rRNA from 1 species
GACAGAGGAGGCAAGCGUUGUUCGGAAUCAUUGGGCUUAAAGCGCGCGUAGGCGGCCUUGUAAGUGUCUUGUGAAAUCCCACGGCUCACCCGUGGAACUGCAGGGCAAACUGCAAGACUUGAGGUCGGUAGAGGCGCCUGGAACUCUAGGUGGAGCGGUGAAAUGCGUAGAUAUCUAGGGGAACGCCGGAGGCGAAAGCGGGGCGCUGGGCCUAUUAUGACGGUGAUGCGCGAAAGCGUGGGGAGCAAUCAGG